rnacentral:rRNA from 1 species
UACGUAGGGUGCGAGCGUUGUCCGGAAUUAUUGGGCGUAAAGAGCUUGUAGGCGGUUUGUCGCGUCUGCCGUGAAAAUCCGGGGCUCAACCCCGGACUUGCGGUGGGUACGGGCAGACUAGAGUGUGGUAGGGGAGACUGGAAUUCCUGGUGUAGCGGUGAAAUGCGCAGAUAUCAGGAAGAACACCAAUGGCGAAGGCAGCUCUCUGGGACGGUACUGACGCUGAGACGCGAAAGCGUGGGGAGCGAACAGG